rnacentral:rRNA from 1 species
AGAGUUUGAUCCUGGCUCAGAAUGAACGUUGGCGGUAUGGAUUAGGCAUGCAAGUCGCGCGAGAACUGAAGGAGCUUGCUCUUGAUGGGAAAGCGGCGUAAGGGAGAGUAACAGGUAGAUACCUGCCCUCAGGUUUGGGAUAGCGUCGGGAAACUGGCAGUAAUACCAAAUAACAUCUCCGGAUCAAAGUUCCGGCGCCUGAGGAUGGAUCUGCUCACUAUUAGCUUGUUGGUGGGGUAAUGGCCUACCAAGGCGACGAUGGUUAGCGGGCGUGAGAGCGUGGCCCGCCUCACUGGGACUGAGACACUGCCCAGACACCUACGGGUGGCUGCAGUCGAGAAUCUUCGGCAAUGGGCGCAAGCCUGACCGAGCGAUACCGCGUGCGGGAUUAAGGCCUUCGGGCUGUAAACCGCUGUCAGAGGGAAGGAAAUUUUGACCGAACCUCAGAGGAAGGACGGGCUAAGUUCGUGCCAGCAGCCGCGGUAAGACGAACCGUCCGAACGUUAUUCGGAAUUACUGGGCUUAAAGGGUGCGUAGGCGGCCUUGCAAGUCAGGUGUGAAAUCCCACGGCUCAACCGUGGAACUGCGCUUGAAACUGCAAGGCUUGAGGGAGAUAGAGGUGAGCGGAACUGACGGUGGAGCGGUGAAAUGCGUUGAUAUCAUCAGGAACACCUGCGGCGAAGGCGGCUCACUGGAUCU